rnacentral:tRNA from 1 species
ACCCGUUUGGUGUAACGGUAGCACUUCUGACUCUGGAUCAGACAGUCAAGGUUCAAAUCCUUGGACGGGUGCCA